rnacentral:lncRNA from 1 species
UGCCAUAAAAAUUUUAUUAAUUUUUAGCAUCAAAACAUAAGAUUUCUGAUUUAUCUUCUAAGGCAAUGCGUUUAAUAAAGAGCCUUCUUUAAGAAGGACUCUUAAUUUCUCAUGCUGAUUUGAGGUGGGUGGCAAUUAUAUUUUUGUGUGGCUUUUGGUGAAUAUAGAGAAGCCCUUCUCCACUUGAAACUAGUCCAUGUUGGAUAAAGAUUCAAUCCAAAUUGACC